rnacentral:rRNA from 1 species
GAUGAACGCUGGCGGCGUGCCUAAUACAUGCAAGUAGAACGCUGAAGGAGGAGCUUGCUCUUCUGGAUGAGUUGCGAACGGGUGAGUAACGCGUAGGUAACCUGCCUGGUAGCGGGGGAUAACUAUUGGAAACGAUAGCUAAUACCGCAUGACAACAGUUAUUGCAUGAUAACUGUUUAAAAGGGGCAGCUGCUCCACUACCAGAUGGACCUGCGUUGUAUUAGCUAGUUGGUGAGGUAACGGCUCACCAAGGCGACGAUACAUAGCCGACCUGAGAGGGUGAUCGGCCACACUGGGACUGAGACACGGCCCAGACUCCUACGGGAGGCAGCAGUAGGGAAUCUUCGGCAAUGGGCGGAAGUCUGACCGAGCAACGCCGCGUGAGUGAAGAAGGUGUUCGGAUCGUAAAGCUCUGUUGUAAGAGAAGAACGAGUGUGAGAGUGGAAAGUGCAAACUGGGACGGUAUCUUACCAGAAAGGGACGGCUAACUACGU